GGGGUGUUAUGAUGUAAAGGCACACUUUUAUUUAAAAAAAAAAAAUAACAACAAACGGUGUCCCUAGUCUAGCUCAGAUUUUUUUUUUUGUACAGAAAAAAAAA
rfam:Leptosomus discolor contig30520, whole genome shotgun sequence.